GAUGAACGCUAGCGGCAGGCCUAAUACAUGCAAGUCGAACGGUGUCUUCAGACAUAGUGGCGCACGGGUGCGUAACACGUAUGCAACCUACCUUACAUUGGGGGAUAGCCUUUCGAAAGGGAGAUUAAUACCGCAUAAGACAGUAGCUGGGCAUCCAGCAGCUGUUAAAGAUUUAUCGAUGUAAGCUGGGCAUGCGUCCAAUUGGCUAGUUGGUGAGGUAACGGCUCACCAAGGCAAUGAUUGGUAGGGGAACUGAGAGGUCAAUCCCCCACACUGGCACUGAGAUACGGGCCAGACUCCUACGGGAGGCAGCAGUAGGGAAUAUUGGGCAAUGGACGCAAGUCUGACCCAGCCAUGCCGCGUGCAGGAUGAAGGCGUUAUGCGUCGUAAACUGCUUUUAUACAGGAAGAAACGACUCUUGCGAGAGGCAUUGACGGUACUGUAUGAAUAAGCACCGGCUAACUCCGUGCCAGCCGCCGCCGUAAGAC
rnacentral:rRNA from 1 species